rnacentral:rRNA from 1 species
ACACUCCUGCGGGAGGCAGCAGUGGGGAAUUUUGGACAAUGGGCGAAAGCCUGAUCCAGCAAUGCCGCGUGUGUGAAGAAGGCCUUCGGGUUGUAAAGCACUUUUGUCCGGAAAGAAAUCCUUGGCUCUAAUACAGUCGGGGGAUGACGGUACCGGAAGAAUAAGCACCGGCUAACUACGUGCCAGCAGCCGCGGUAAUACGUAGGGUGCGAGCGUUAAUCGGAAUUACUGGGCGUAAAGCGUGCGCAGGCGGUUUGCUAAGACCGAUGUGAAAUCCCCGGGCUCAACCUGGGAACUGCAUUGGUGACUGGCAGGCUAGAGUAUGGCAGAGGGGGGUAGAAUUCCACGUGUAGCAGUGAAAUGCGUAGAGAUGUGGAGGAAUACCGAUGGCGAAGGCAGCCCCCUGGGCCAAUACUGACGCUCAUGCACGAAAGCGUGGGGAGCAAACAGGAUUAGAAACCCCGGUAGUCCCA